UUAAAUUGAAGAGUUUGAUCAUGGCUCAGAUUGAACGCUGGCGGCAGGCCUAACACAUGCAAGUCGAGCGGAAACGAGUUGUCUGAACC
rnacentral:rRNA from 1 species